rnacentral:rRNA from 1 species
AGACGAAGGUGGCAAGCGUUGUUCGGAAUCACUGGGCAUAAAGCGUACGCAGGCGGCGUGAUCAGUUGGAUGUGAAAUCCCUCGGCCCAACCGGGGAACUGCGUCCAAUACUGUCAGGCUUGAGAUCGGGAGGGGUGUGUGGAAUUCCGGGUGGAGCGGUGAAAUGCGUUGAUAUCCGGAGGAACACCGGCGGCGAAAGCGACACACUGGGGCCAAUCUGACGCUGAGGCGCGAAAGCAUGGGGAGCAAACGGGAUUAGAAACCCCAGUAGUCC